GACGAACGCUGGCGGCGUGCUUAACACAUGCAAGUCGAACGGAAAGGCCCUGCUUUUGUGGGGUGCUCGAGUGGCGAACGGGUGAGUAACACGUGAGUAACCUGCCCUUGACUUUGGGAUAACUUCAGGAAACUGGGGCUAAUACCGGAUAGGAGCUCCUGCUGCAUGGUGGGGGUUGGAAAGUUUCGGCGGUUGGGAAUGGACUCGCGGCUUAUCAGCUUGUUGGUGGGGUAGUGGCUUACCAAGGCUUUGACGGGUAGCCGGCCUGAGAGGGAGACCGGCCACAUUGGGACUGAGAUACGGCCCAGACUCCUACGGGAGGCAGCAGUGGGGAAUAUUGCACAAUGGGCGGAAGCCUGAUGCAGCAACGCCGCGUGCGGGAUGACGGCCUUCGGGUUGUAAACCGCUUUCGCCUGUGACGAAGCGUGAGUGACGGUAAUGGGUAAAGAAGCACCGGCUAACUACGUG
rnacentral:rRNA from 1 species